rnacentral:pre_miRNA from 1 species
AAUAAAUGUAGUUUUACACUGUUCAUGUCAAAUGUUCGAUUGUUCGUCUUAUUUAAAAUUUUUUUUAUGAUUAGUAUUUUUAUUGUUAUUAUAUGAUAAAAACAUGAAUAUUACUUUAUGUGUCUAACUUUUUUAUUUUUUUCAUUAAUUUCUCAAAUAAGACGGACGGUCAACGGAGGGACGGAGGUC